UACGUAGGGUGCGAGCGUUAAUCGGAAUUACUGGGCGUAAAGGGCGCGUAGGCGGCCUGCUAAGUCGAACGUGAAAUCCCCGGGCUCAACCCGGGAACUGCGUCCGAUACUGGCAGGCUUGAAUUCGGGAGAGGGAUGUGGAAUUCCAGGUGUAGCGGUGAAAUGCGUAGAUAUCUGGAGGAACACCGGUGGCGAAGGCGGCAUCCUGGACCGAGAUUGACGCUGAUGCGCGAAAGCCAGGGGAGCAAACGGG
rnacentral:rRNA from 1 species